rnacentral:tRNA from 1 species
GCGUUGCUAGCUAAAAUGGAUCAAAGCAUUAGAAUACGAAUCUAAAGAAUAUACAGGUUCAACUCCUGUGCAACGCA